rnacentral:rRNA from 1 species
UACGGAGGGUGCGAGCGUUGUCCGGAAUCAUUGGGCGUAAAGGGCGCGUAGGUGGCCCGGUCAGUCCGUGGUGAAAGCGCGGGGCUCAACCCUGCGUCGGCCAUGGAUACUGCCGCGGCUCGAGCACUGUAGAGGCAGGCGGAAUUCCGGGUGUAGCGGUGGAAUGCGUAGAUAUCUGGAGGAACACCGGUGGCGAAGGCGGCAUCCUGGACCGGCAUUGACGCUGAGGCGCGAAAGCUAGGGGAGCAAACGGG